GAUGAAGAACGUAGCGAAAUGCGAUAAGUAAUGUGAAUUGCAGAAUUCAGUGAAUCAUCGAAUCUUUGAACGCACAUUGCGCCCGCCAGUAUUCUGGCGGGCAUGCCUGAUCGAGCGUCAUUUCAACCCUCAGGCCCCGCCUGGCGUUGGGGAUCGGCGCGGCCCUCUCCGGGCUGCCGGCCCCGAAAACUAGUGGCGGUCUCGCUGUAGUCCUCCUCUGCGCAGUAGCAACGCUCGCACUGGAACUCGGCGCGGCCACGCCGUAAAACACCCCACUUCUGAAAGUUGACCUCGGAUCAGGUAGGAAUACCCGCUGAACUUAAGCAUAUCAAUAAGCGGAGGA
rnacentral:misc_RNA from 1 species